rnacentral:rRNA from 1 species
GACGAACCGUGCGAACGUUGUUCGGAAUCACUGGGCUUAAAGGGCGCGUAGGCGGGCUGCCAAGUCUGGGGUGAAAUCCCACGGCUCAACCGUGGAACUGCCUUGGAUACUGGCGGUCUUGAGGAAGGUAGGGGCAUGCGGAACUAUGGGUGGAGCGGUGAAAUGCGUUGAUAUCCAUAGGAACUCCGGUGGCGAAGGCGGCGUGCUGGACCUUUUCUGACGCUGAGGCGCGAAAGCCAGGGGAGCAAACGGG